UAUAGUAGUUCACCUCCUCUCCGGUAGUGGCGCUAGUUUACCUCCUGCGCACCCUUAACAAUCUAAAUUAGAGUGAACAAAAAUUUCAAAACUCCGUUAGGCGUUAUCAGGCACAGCCCGAAAUCUCCUACUUCUACCAUGAUCACAAGAGCUACUUGAUCCACCCUUGAUCCUACGGCAGUUAGAGGCGAAACAAGGCAUGGAUAACCAAAACCCCUAGCACGCAUGUCUACUUUAACAUACAUCUUAUGGGGAGGCUUACAUUGCUCUUUCAAGGUUUUUUGCUGCCAUUGCCUGAGUAGUAGUGACCCUUGUGAGAAGCUGAUCUAAAUACUGGAUACAGGUUCGCGGAACUUCCUGCUUCGCAAACUCGGAAGGAAUUACGGCCUUUACACCAAAAACCAAUUCAUGUGGAGUAAAACCUGUGGACUCAUGUACAGAGGUAUUGUAUGAAAAUAUACCAAAUCUCAUCCAAUCGUCCCAAUCUGAUUUUGUACAGUAAUGUUUAAGAUAGUCUAUGAAUACGCGAUAAGCUCUUUCCAAAGAUCCUAAUGACUGAGGGUGAAAUUCAGUAGAGCCCUAGGACAACCGAAUCUACUGAUAAACCGUUCGGACAAAGCGGCAGCGACAGACACUGAAUCGAUAUUAGUUAAAGGUUAUGGACCCACAAUGUCCAUCUGCACUUUUUCGAACGCGACCUUGGGAGUGUCAGUAAUUCGCAUGGGUUGUCUAGUCUUUCCAGAACGAAUUUUAUUCCUUUGGCAUAUUAAGCAGAUACGUACAAAUUCUUUAAUUUCCUAUACCAGGGCAAUAAAAAUGUUCUCGGAUGCUGCUAUAAAGUUUAGUUAUGCUUUUAUGACCUCCUAUUACAGACUCGUGAAACUCCUCAAUAAUUUCAAAUCUUCUUGAAUGAGACGGAGUUUCAAUUUCACCAGUGCAAACUGUAAUUAUGUAUUUAAAGUCAUUAAAAACUUGAUUUAUCGUAUCCAUAAUAAAAUUCCAUUCGAUGGGUUCAAGAUUAUUGUCAUUCUUUGAUAUGCUAAAGGUUUUCAAAUUUGAGGAAUCUAAUAGGUGCUUCAAGGAUUUAAUGGAGGAAACAAUGUGAACAGGGUUUGGUUUAUCCUGAGAAACAGCUUUAAAGAACAAAUGGUAAAUACGAAUUUUAUCAGCAGGGAAGGUCAUGGCAUCACCAACAUUCAAAGAAUACUGUUUGAGUUGAUCAAUGGAAAACCCUCUUCGUGCAAACAAAUCCUGUCCAGUCUGUGAAAUGUUAUUGCAAUCAAGUGGUAAAAAAUGGACAAGGUUAUUUCUACGCAUAAAAAGAGUCGUUAACGGUUUUUUCACUUGGGAUUCCCCGUGCGGUCUUGGUCGCGAAAAAACUGGAUAUGUGCUGAGCAAUCACUAGGCUCCCCGGGGAUCUCUGCCGUGAGCUAUGUGAACUUGAUACCCGACUUUUCAAAAAUUAAUUU